rnacentral:rRNA from 1 species
GUGAGGAAUUUUCCGCAAUGGGCGAAAGCCUGACGGAGCAAUGCCGCGUGAAGGAUGAAGGCCUAUGGGUUGUAAACUUCUUUUCUCAGAAAAGAAUUAUGACGGUAUCUGAGGAAUAAGCAUCGGCUAACUCUGUGCCAGCAGCCGCGGUAAGACAGAGGAUGCAAGCUUUAUCCGGAAUGAUUGGGCGUAAAGCGUCUGUAGGUUGUUUAAAAAGUAUUCUGUCAAAGAUUAGGGCUUAACCCUAGAUAGGCAGAAUAAACUUUUAAGCUAGAGUUUGGUAGAGGCAGAGGGAAUUCCCGGUGGAGCGGUGAAAUGCGUAGAUAUCGGGAGGAACACCAAAGGCGAAGGCACUCUGCUGGGCCAAUACUAACACUGAGAGACGAAAGCGAGGGGAGCAAAUGGGAUUAGAUACCCUGGUAGUCC